GGCGUGUAAAGGCCAAAGUUCACAAAGUGGUAGUGAUAACCGGGGGGAGACGUUUUAGCAGAGCUUCGACAUGUCUGAAGUCAGCAGCCAGUUUCCCAUAGACCCCAUCACUGCAGUUGGAGUAGUGUCUUCACCCAGCAAGGCCCCUGAUGGCUACUAUGUUGUUGCACAAACAACAGAUGGCUCUGACGCCGACCUGAGGAAGGACGGCUUAUUCAAAUCCAAGGUCACUCGCUACCUCUGUUUCACCAGGAAAACUGGGCCCGAUGUUGUCGUGGACAUGAAGCUGACUGAUACUAAAGACGCCCUGCCAGAGUCGUUCACACCAAUGCAAGAAACAAUGGACACAAAGGAAGCUGCAAUGAGGAAGAGGAGGCUGUGUGUGAAAAUGAGCCCUCGUGAGGAUGCGAAGACAGCUGUAUGUGACAUCCAGAUCACGGCAAAGUCCAAGACCCAUCUUGUUAACUACACCUGUGUAGGCGAACUAAACAACAUGGGAAUAUGGUAUCGGUUGGGAGAUGUUCGCCAGCAUCAGCCGUCUAGAGUCACGUCCGGCAGGGUCGAAAGCGACGCCCGACCCGGCACAGCGAGCUCGAGGAUUUACUCUGAGCGUCACGGCACUGGACUCUACACCAUGACAGCUUUGGAUGAUGUGCCCUUUGUGAUCUCGGAGAAGUUUUCGCAAAAAAUCCCCAAAGAGAUGCAGCAAGUCAAUUUAAUGGGCAUUACGAUCAAAUCCCUGGCAGACAUCGAGGAGGAAUUUCAGUACAACUUCAGCACAGAGCGAAGCAUUGUUCUGUAACUUGUCACCGAGCCUCGUCUCAGCUGAGUCGCAGCGACUGAGAGAGUACAGACGGACAAAGGGGAUUAUUCAGAACAAUCAUGAACUAUCAAAUUACACCACAAUUUUCAAUUGUGUAAUUUAAAAAAAAGGGGAAAAAUAGCCCUUAUGGAGAUACUGGGAUGAUGGAUUGUAUUUAAAUAAUUCAAUACUUUGAAUAUUUUAAAUAGUUGCUACAACUGUGCACAAUAAAUUUGACAAAAUAAUUUAUUUUUCAUGAAGGUUACUUUUCUAAAUUUGCAUUUUGUCUUAUUUCACCCAUCACGGACAAAGUUAAUCUUUUCUAGUUAGUAUUCCUAAAUAGAUUCAUUCAUAAAAGUAUGUUAGCUGUGACUCACAUAUUGCUCAUCAGGGUAACGGGUACAUGAUGACAGUAAGUAGCAGUCGGAGUGAAACAGAGAGGCAGCUUCAUCACACACGAAAAGGCCAGUCUAACGUUCAUUUCCCAGCAGAAGCAUCUUUCCGUCAAGAGGUUUAUCAUGAGCAGCGCGCUGCAAGAAUGAGCAGAGCCUUGGGACACGGGAGCGCUUACCCCAGGCGCCCACCCACGUCAGCAGUGACUCCUCCACUGAGUCACCGAGAACAGUUUCAGAUGCCAUAUAUAUUCACCCAGCUGCAGUUUGCUACAGGAAACUGGUGUCCAGCAUAGCACACAACAGGUGAUGUCUCCGUGUGAGCGUUUGCUUUGACUGCUCUGUUCAGAGGACUCCUCUGCACAGACGACCGCUUUCUUCAUGAAGAGGUGACACUUAUGUAAGCACGGUAACAGCCCCGUCCCCCGCUGCGUAUAAAGUGCACAUAUACAGUUCACCGUACGUUUUCAGAUU